rnacentral:rRNA from 1 species
UGGGGAAUUUUGGACAAUGGGCGAAAGCCUGAUCCAGCCAUGCCGCGUGAGUGAAGAAGGCCUUCGGGUUGUAAAGCUCUUUUAGUCGGAAAGAAAGAGUUGCAAUGAAUAAUUGUGAUUUAUGACGGUACCGACAGAAAAAGCACCGGCUAACUACGUGCCAGCAGCCGCGGUAAUACGUAGGGUGCGAGCGUUAAUCGGAAUUACUGGGCGUAAGGGGUGCGCAGGCGGUCUUGCAAGUCAGAUGUGAAAGCCCCGGGCUUAACCUGGGAAUUGCGUUUGAAACUACAAGACUAGAGUGCAGCAGAGGGGAGUGGAAUUCCAUGUGUAGCAGUGAAAUGCGUAGAGAUGUGGAAGAACACCGAUGGCGAAGGCAGCUCCCUGGGUUGACACUGACGCUCAUGCACGAAAGCGUGGGGAGCAAACA